rnacentral:rRNA from 1 species
AUUGAACGCUGGCGGCAUGCUUUACAGAUGCAAGUCGAACGGUAACAGGCCGCAAGGUGCUGACGAGUGGCGAACGGGUGAGUAAUGCAUCAGAACGUGCCCAGUCGUGGGGGAUAACGCAGCGAAAGCUGUGCUAAUACCGCAUACGAUCUAUGGAUGAAAGCGGGGGACCGUAAGGCCUCGCGCGAUUGGAGCGGCCGAUGUCAGAUUAGGUAGUUGGUGGGGUAAAGGCCUACCAAGCCGACGAUCUGUAGCUGGUCUGAGAGGACGACCAGCCACACUGGGACUGAGACACGGCCCAGACUCCUACGGGAGGCAGCAGUGGGGAAUUUUGGACAAUGGGCGCAAGCCUGAUCCAGCAAUGCCGCGUGCAGGAAGAAGGCCUUCGGGUUGUAAACUGCUUUUGUACGGAACGAAACGGUCUGGGUUAAUACCCUGGGCUAAUGACGGUACCGUAAGAAUAAGCACCGGCUAACUACGUGCCAGCCGCCGCCGUAACAC